UGUAUGUGUGUGCGCGCAUGUGAAGGCGUCUGUGUGAGGCAGUUUCAACUCGUUAUUUGACAUCAGAGCGCCGUGGGCGGAGCCUCAGGAUCCUGGCAGAGUACUUCCUCGGUCGGUGGUCGGGGAAACUGAAGCCUGUGGCUCUCCAGGGUCUGUCGCUGCUCCUUUCUGAUAGAAAGGUCCCACCCCAGCCGCUGUGGUUUGCUCCAGGAUUGGCCAACAUCAGAAAGCUCCAGGAGUUGCCCUAUCACCUGCUGCAUGCUGGUCUGUGGGAGGAGCUGCAACAGGAAGUCAUUGGCAGUGCUGAGUGGCUGUACUGUAAGAGCAGGGUUUGUGGGGUGUCCAGUGUGAUCCAGGAUCUGGACCAGUGCUCCAAGUACAUGGACU